GAGCUAUUUUACAGUGGAUUUUAUGAUCCUGGCACAUACAUGAUCAAUAAGUAAUUGUUGGUUGCAAGAUUAGAGGGAUGCAUGGAUGGGAAAUCCAAGUAUGUAGAAACGAAGCAGAUAGUUCAAGGCCCCUGAGAAGGUAGCAGCAGAUGGGCCCUUUACAUAGGGAUUGCCCUGGGGAAGAAAAGGGACGUCCUUUCCAUGUUCACAGGAGGGAAGGAGAAGCAGCAGAGUACAGAUGUAGGUAGGCUGGGAGACAGGGAGAAGAUGGCAUUCCUGUCUGAGGGUUUCUAAUUUCUCUGUGAAGUGGGAGAUGAAAGGAUGAGGCGUUGGGGGGAGGGUAUGAAGAUCUGAGGAGACAAGGCAGAUUUAAAACAGUUGCUGCAGAGAGGAGGAGAGAGCGAGCUGACCCAACCCUCAGCUCCAGUGGAGGAGCAGAUAGAAUUCUCCUUAUUGAUCUCUUCCUUGAGCACUU
rnacentral:lncRNA from 1 species